CAGAUUUAUAUAUAGCAUAGUAUUUAAAAUCAAACGAAAACAAGUUUAAAUCACAAGAAAAUGAAGUAAGCUAUGUACAAGAAUUUAUUAAUCACAAUGUCUAUCGUUGGGGCCAGGCGUUUGAUGCGUUGUUGAAAUCGAUCCCGAUCCCGUGCGAUCUCCUGCCAGGCGCCCUUGCGAGCGGCGCGAUAAGCAAAAUCCCACGUGUGCAUGACAUGAACUUUUGGUUUUAGAUUGAAACGCACCUAUAAGUGAAAAAUGAAAUUAAAAUGACAAUACAAAUUGAUGUGUUCCCCCAACAAUAUUUACCUUCUUUGUAAAUUCUUGAUCUGCAUCCUGCUCUUGGCUGUCGAAUUUACAAUCAUCCGUGUUGUCCGUGGAAUUGAAAUCAGCU